rnacentral:rRNA from 1 species
GCAUUCGAACUGAGAUACGGACCAGAGUCCUAAAGGAGGCAGCAGUGGCGAAUCUUCCGCCAUGGGCGAAAGCCCCACGGAGCAUCGCCGCGAGAGUCCAGACGGAAUUCGGGCUGUAAAGCACUGUUAUUUGGGCCGAACGUCUAUAUGGCCAAUAUCCAUAGCUAGUGAGGGUACCGCAAGAGAACACCACUGCUAACUAUGUGCCAGCAGACGCGGG